AUUGAACGCUGGCGGCAUGCCUUACACAUGCAAGUCGAACGGUAACAGGUCUUCGGAUGCUGACGAGUGGCGAACGGGUGAGUAAUACAUCGGAAAGUGCCCGAUCGUGGGGGAUAACGAAGCGAAAGCUUUGCUAAUACCGCAUACGAUCUACGGAUGAAAGCCGGGGACCGCAAGGCCUUGCGCGAACGGAGCGGCCGAUGGCGGCGUAGGUAGUUGGUGGGAUAAAAGCUUACCAAGCCGACGAUCUGUAGCUGGUCUGAGAGGACGAUCAGCCACACUGGGACUGGGACACGGCCCAGACGCCUACGGGAGGCAGCAGUGGGGAAUGUUGGACAAUGGGCGAAAGCCUGAUCCAGCCAGGCCGCGUGCAGGAUGAAGGCCUUCGGGUUGUAAACUGCGUUUGUACGGAACGAAAAGACUCUGGUUAAUACCUGGGGUCCAUGACGGUACCGGAAGAAUAAGCACCGGCUAACUACGUG
rnacentral:rRNA from 1 species